GAAAGGGAACAUGCACGUAACGUCACGUCUCAACAGCGGCUUACCGCUCGUUUGAGGAGGCCGUGGCAGUAGAGUGAGCUGAAGAAAGACCUGGGAGGGUUUGAGGCAGCAGAUGGGCUGCCCUGCUGUGUGCCUGAUUGAAAUGCUAGAGCUGGAGCGAACUCCUAACACAGUCCCCAGCUCCUGUCAGCACCAGCAAAGUAUGAGUUGUAGCUGCACUGAACACUGGAGAGAACUCAGGGGAAAAACGAAUGCUGUGGAUGUUGCAGCAUGACUCAAAUGUCACCUGCUCUGACUGGGCUGCAGAAUGACUAAUUCAGCUCGUGAAGGAGUCGGUGGAAGGGCCGACUGUGUCAGCCUGAGCCAAAACGCUGGGCCUGGGAACUGGAGUUCUGAAUGGCCUGAGCGACGGUGUAUCGGCUUCUGCCUUCAGCACAUGCCUCAAUCUUCUUCACACUCAGCUGAGACUGAAGAAACAGGUGCAGGCAACUGUCGGACAGCAGCACUGGACUGCCCACAAUCCUGCAGACCACACACAGGAAUGAAAGUUACUGUCCAUAACUGAUUGCCAGUUCUAUACAAUAAAGCCCAUUAGAAUGUUA